UACAGAGGGGGCAAGCGUUGUCCGGAUUUACUGGGCGUACAGCGCGCGCAGGCGGUUGCGUAUGUGAGCGGUGACAUCCGCGGGCUCAACCCGCGGCGGCCCGCUUACACAGCGCGACUGGAGGCAGGGAGAGGGAUGUGGAAUACCCGGUGGAGCGGUGAAAUGCGUAGAGAUCGGGUGGAACACCAGCGGCGAAGGCGGCAUCCUGGCCCUGUACUGACGCUGAGGCGCGAAAGCUAGGGGAGCAAACGGG
rnacentral:rRNA from 1 species